GUGGUGGGCAGAAAGCUCGGCUCGGCUGGCUCGGUUGGCUGCCAGUUCACCUGCAGCGGCGGUUGAUCGCGGUUCGUGCGCCUGUCUUUCCUUGACAAGUGUGCCAGUGUGUAUCUGCAGUGCAUUCGAAUGCGUGCGGCUCGAUUCAAGCGAGCAUGGUACAAUCCUGCGUAGCGUAUGGGUGCGCAAAUCGCGCGAUUCCUGCUUCCAAGAUCACAUUUCACAGGUUUCCAAAAGAUGCUGAGACACGGAACCUAUGGGAGCGAGCUGUGCGUCGUGAACGCUGGAAACCGACAGAUAAAGAUCGCCUUUGCUCUGCGCACUUUGAUCCGGCGUGUUUUGACCGGACCGGACAAACAACACGAUUGAAAGCGGGAAGUGUGCCGACUUCGUUCGCUGCUUUCCCUGCCCACCUCCAGGCACCGGUGAAAAGGAAGCGGCCAGCACCAAAACCUCGAGGAUGCAGUCCUGCUCAGCAGCAAGAGGCCCUAAAUACCGAAGACCAUGUCACUGUAUCACCAUCAAAGCAGUGGUACAAGACGAAGUUGCAGGAAACAGAAGACGAAAGAUUGCACCUGAAGAAAAAAAUUAAAACGUUGCAGCAGAACAAGCGAAGGCUGACACAAAAGAAAAUCACCGCUGAAGAAAUUAUUAGAGGCA